AACAAACACGUUCCACAUUCUAUUACAAAUAACACAGCACAGCACAAAUUUUUUUUUGGCCUAAGCAGACGCUGUGUUGCUUCAUUUAUCACGUUGGGCAAAACUUUUAAUUGAUAUACGCGUGCAACAAUGACCACUACACGCAAACACACACAUAUGGAUGGCAAGCUUGAUCUGGUGAUGACUUUUUAACAAGUUUGUGUAACAAAACCUAAUCACACAUCUAACGAAGACAGCCCGCAACAUUUUCGAUUGAUUGACUACUGAGCAAGAGACAGCGUGACAGACGACUUGCAACUCACAAAGACGCAUCAACUAAAAAAUGAAAGAAAAAAUAAGAAAACUGAAAAUGGAAAAGAAAAAGAAAAACAUAAAAUAAAAUAAAAUAAAAAUUGACACCGGAAGUGGCUGCAUCAUCUGCGUUGGAUGUGUCGCUGGGCGAAACAAAUUACUUGAUUUGCAUACAUCUACAGCUAAAGCCGAACACGAAUAAUGGAAAGCAAGUAUAAACGCUGCAGCCGGGCAGAACCCACUGCACAAUACCCGUUUACAUUGGAGCCGGAGCCAAUAAUUGCAGCCAACGUAAUCCCCAUAAGAUGGUAGCAACUGUGUCUGUUGCGCUGCCGAGGCAGCGAUUACCGCAACAACAAAAACAAUUCCAACUAAAAGAAAACCCAAAUUGUUGCACAGUGUGACAAACUA